UCCGCAGCCUCUUGUGAGGCAUACGAACCAACGGCACGUGUGGCGAGUGUUGCAUACUGGUAAGCCUAAUUCUCUAUCUCUAAACAUGCCCUUCAUACUUUUGUGUGGCCGAUUCAUUAGGCUCACAGUCUCCUUUCCUCUAUAUUUUGUUUCAGUGACUGGUCUAUCGAGGCAAUCCCUGCCCCUGUCUCCUUGAAUUGCUCUAAAGAUUGACACUGGGUUUUUUUCAAACACCCUAAACUUAUACUCGCUGAAUGCAGUCUUGUUAUGAGCCAUUGCAAACUCUAUAUAUAAAUGGUUCCAAAUAUUGGCCCUUGCCGCCCAUGUUACGUCGUUUAAUUCUCUUUGGGGUUACAAAUUCAAUUCCUUGCUAGCCCGUGCUACAUAUCUCUCUAUGCAGAGAGUAUCAAGCCAAGCUAGUCCACAGCUAUUUUGUCUGUACUUCUUUUUAUAGCACAUUGACUCCACUAAGUCCUUCGAGGAAGCGCUCAGAUACAGCGCGAAACAUGUCAGGACUCCGAUCAACCCAGCGCAAGUGCUAAAAAUCUCCAGUUGCUGAUGAUUUUCUUUAGAAGCUUUUGUAUUUAUUUAUGGUUCCAACUAUCAGUCCACUUUUGGACAUCUAGUCUAGUAUUAUAUCAAUUGGUGCUAGUACUGUAUAACCAGAUUUAAUCUUCUAAGCUACAUCAAUUACUGUGAACGCUGUACUGAUCAAAUGCUAUGUGUAAUUUAUGUGUACUCUUUGGAGGAAAACUUUUAAAAUAUAUAUUUUUUUGUAAUAAAUAUUUUUAUAUAUAAAGUCAGUUUUCGAAAGACUCAUAUCUUUACUAACUUAUCAUGCCGACAAAGUCCAUGACUA